rnacentral:rRNA from 1 species
GGCUUCCUACGGGAGGCAGCAGUAGGGAAUUUUCGUCAAUGGGCGCAAGCCUGAACGAGCAAUGCCGCGUGAACGAGGAAGGUCUUCGGAUCGUAAAGUUCUGUUGAAGGGGAAAAAGAGCGGAGAGAGGAAAUGAACUCCGAUUGAUAUUACCCUUCGAGGAAGUCACGGCUAACUACGUGCCAGCAGCCGCGGUAAUACGUAGGUGGCGAGCGUUAUCCGGAAUGAUUGGGCGUAAAGGGUGCGUAGGCGGCCUGCUAAGUCUGGAGUGAAGGGUACCGGCUCAACCGGGACAGGCUCUGGAA